CAUGGCUUGAUGACACCGCUAGGAAACACCAUUCGGACCGCGGUUCGUGUACGCAAUGGCCUUGGGAAAUGGUAGUGCCCAGAAACCUGAAGGCCUCCACAGAUGACACCGAAAUAAAUUGGAGACUGAUCGUCUUCGUGCGAUGAAGUUUUUGGACCUCCACUGAGAUUAGACUGAAUCUGUGAGGAUCCUGAGGCAUCUAGAGAUCUACCAGCUCAGACUCUGCCAUCAGACUCUGCAAUACCAAAGAGGAGAUGUGAACUCCAUAUGAUCUUUUGCAUCUAUACAACAUUUGUUUGACUGUAUUUUUAUAAUCACACCAUCCAGUGUCACUCAUAU